rnacentral:lncRNA from 1 species
UGAAGCAGUGUGUGUUUAUUGCUGGUGACCACAAGACAUAAAUCUUGCCAGCACAAUGUACAAUGGAAGGCAGCCCCCAGGUUUUUUUUUUUUUCAGUCUCAAUUUGUGUGUAAGUGUGUGUUAAGUGCCGUUGAAAAAUAGUGACCUUUAAUAAAGGAUUGUAUCCUGAGACUCUUUUCCCAGACACACAGUGACCUUUCAAACCAGACUGGGGUGAGGGGGUGUGGAGCCUGGACUUUGAACCGGCCAGUUCCUGCUGGGUUCCUCUGUUAGCCUGGCUACUACUUAUUGUGUCGCAAGGGAGCGUUCUGUAUGCAAAGCAGGCUGGCCUGCCAGCCUGAACCUUUGCAAAUCAAUUUGUCUGUGAAGGCGAGUCUACUGGAGUGAAAGAUGGUCUAGCAGGACACACUGCGCCCCUCUCUUUGUGACAUCAUCGCUUGUGGCACUCUUGUCAGGCACAUCAACCCGAAAGGGACUGUUGGAAAGGGGGCCCGCGGGGGGUUGUGGCUGGGGAGGGGGGAUGGGAGAGGUUAAUCCUUCCUGACCAACUGCGGCCGGAGAGACAGACAAGGGGCGUUCUUCUUCAGGAGACAAAGCAGGGUGUUCUUGAGGGGGCUUGGGGCACUUCUGGCUUCCACUUUCAAGAGAGAUGAUGGAAGAUACCAAUUCUACUUUGGGCACCUGAAGGAAAAGACUAUGAAAACUCUGACAUGAGAGCAGCUGGCAAUCUCCAUCAUUUCUGUAUCUCCAACUAGAGACUUUAAGGAACUUCCCCUUGGGGUCUCAUCUGGAACUGGUCAGGCAUGGAGAACAUUGGCACAGAGAGUUAAAAAGAAAAAUAAAAUUCUCCUGGAGAAACA